GUCAUAUGUCUAUAGGGCAGGGUGUUCACGUGGUCUAUUUUUACGACCCAGAGUUCCCCUGAGCAGAGGUUUUUCUUUUUUUUUUUUUCCCUGCAGGGAGGCAUUAUGGGUUCCCCCCCAACCCCUCACUGGGAAAGGAAGUGUCUACGUGGCCUAUAGAAACAGAUGGGCGGAAAUGAGCUAAAUUUCCCGAGAAUGGGGAAGUGCGAGGUCAAGUCGGAGGCCAGAUCCUUGAACCACUUGCGCAACCCUUGGAGGAAAAUAAAGUCGGAGUAGGAGUUUUGGUAUGUGGGGAUCUUACAGUUUCAUCAGGAGAGGUGAAGAAUGAAUUUCAGCCUCCAGUUGUUCCCUCUCAGUUAGGUAACCUCAUACAGGGUGCAACAUGCCCUGCCCAACUGUGUCUGCCGAUCUUGCUUAUCUUGUGGCUAAGAGAGUCUUCCUAGGUCUGUCACAGACUUCACUUGGAAUGAUCAUGUCAAAUUACCUGUGUUACACAUCAACCAACAGAAAUGAGGAUUGAUUUCUACCAGUCUGUGCAGACUCCUGCAAUCUGAACAUUGCCUAAGAGGAUGCCUUAAGCCAGUUCUCCACAGGUGACUUCAUGACAGCAGCCAUACUUCAUUCUUCUAUUGAGAAAAUGUUCUGUGAGUGAGAAAGCCCCUGAUUCAGCUGUCCUUCCUCCCUGUGGUCUACGAUUUUCUAAAAUGCUGUUUUGAUGUCUUCAGUCCAAGUUUGUAGACUUGUAAAUGUUAUACUAUGUGUGAAGUAUAAUGGAGCAAGGACUGUGAGGCUGGAAAGAAUGGCCUAAUUGCCAUCCUUUCAGGGAUGAUUGGCUCUCCCUGUGGAACAGGGAGAGGCAGAUGAUUGUACUGCCAAAAACCCCUCAACUUUAUUUACUCUCUUGUCACUGCCAGAGUUUUCAUUUGGUGAUUGGUUUUUGAAAUAUAACUUGAUACUAGUCUUCAUAUUUGGAAUAUGAUUAAUGCUUAAUCAGAUCAUUAUCAUUCUUUGUUCAGCAAUGUAAUUUACUGUGUUUUGAUGUCUUUUUAACUUUGGUUUUGUUAUACCCAACGACCAGCCUGUGCAUGUGUGUGCAUGCUGUCUGAUGUUAUCAGUUUCCUCCCAAGUCCAUUUUCCUGUGACCAAUGGGUGAAUGGAAAGAGAAUAAAUAGAAAUAUGGUAUACAA